rnacentral:rRNA from 1 species
GACGAACGCUGGCGGCGUGCUUAACACAUGCAAGUCGAACGAUGAAGCCUUCGGGUGGAUUAGUGGCGAACGGGUGAGUAACACGUGGGUGAUCUGCCCUGCACUUCGGGAUAAGCUUGGGAAACUGGGUCUAAUACCGGAUAGGACCAUGCCAUGCAUGUGGUGUGGUGGAAAGCUUUUGCGGUGUGGGAUGAGCCCGCGGCCUAUCAGCUUGUUGGUGGGGUGAUGGCCUACCAAGGCGUCGACGGGUAGCCGGCCUGAGAGGGUGUCCGGCCACACUGGGACUGAGAUACGGCCCAGACUCCUACGGGAGGCAGCAGUGGGGAAUAUUGCACAAUGGGCGCAAGCCUGAUGCAGCGACGCCGCGUGGGGGAUGACGGCCUUCGGGUUGUAAACCUCUUUCAGCACAGACGAAGCGUGAGUGACGGUAUGCGCAGAAGAAGCACCGGCCAACUACGUGCCAGCAGCCGCGGUAAUACGUAGGGUGCGAGCGUUGUCCGGAAUUACUGGGCGUAAAGAGCUUGUAGGUGGUUUGUCGCGUUGUUCGUGAAAUCUCACGGCUUAACUGUGAGCGUGCGGGCGAUACGGGCAGACUAGAGUACUGCAGGGGAGACUGGAAUUCCUGGUGUAGCGGUGGAAUGCGCAGAUAUCAGGAGGAACACCGGUGGCGAAGGCGGGUCUCUGGGCAGUAACUGACGCUGAGAAGCGAAAGCGUGGGGAGCGAACAGGAUUAGAUACCCUGGUAGUCCACGCCGUAAACGGUGGGUACUAGGUGUGGGUUUCCUUCCUUGGGAUCCGUGCCGUAGCUAACGCAUUAAGUACCCCGCCUGGGGAGUACGGCCGCAAGGCUAAAACUCAAAGGAAUUGACGGGGGCCCGCACAAGCGGCGGAGCAUGUGGAUUAAUUCGAUGCAACGCGAAGAACCUUACCUGGGCUUGACAUGCACUAGAAACACCUAGAGAUAGGUGCCCCCUUGUGGUUGGUGUGCAGGUGGUGCAUGGCUGUCGUCAGCUCGUGUCGUGAGAUGUUGGGUUAAGUCCCGCAACGAGCGCAACCCUUGUCUCAUGUUGCCAGCGGGUAAUGCCGGGGACUCGUGAGAGACUGCCGGGGUCAACUCGGAGGAAGGUGGGGAUGACGUCAAGUCAUCAUGCCCCUUAUGUCCAGGGCUUCACACAUGCUACAAUGGCCGGUACAAAGGGCUGCGAUGCCGUGAGGUGGAGCGAAUCCUUUAAAGCCGGUCUCAGUUCGGAUCGGGGUCUGCAACUCGACCCCGUGAAGUCGGAGUCGCUAGUAAUCGCAGAUCAGCAACGCUGCGGUGAAUACGUUCCCGGGCCU